CUUCACCGAUCCCAUCAGCAACGGCCGGUCGGCCUCCCGGGCGGCGCCGUAGACGGCGCCGGCCGCCUGCACCUC
rnacentral:antisense_RNA from 1 species